UACAGAGGGUGCAAGCGUCAUCCGGAUUUAUUGGGUUUAAAGGGUGCGUAGGCGGCUUAUUAAGUCAGAGGUGAAAGACGGUAGCUCAACUAUCGCAGUGCCUUUGAUACUGACGGGCUUGAAUAAACUAGAGGUAGGCGGAAUGAGACAAGUAGCGGUGAAAUGCAUAGAUAUGUCUCAGAACACCGAUUGCGAAGGCAGCUUACUAUGGUUUUAUUGACGCUGAGGCACGAAAGCGUGGGGAUCAAACAGG
rnacentral:rRNA from 1 species